GACAGAGGAUGCAAGCGUUAUCCGGAAUGAUUGGGCGUAAAGCGUCUGUAGGUGGCUUUUUAAGUCCGCCGUCAAAUCCCAGGGCUCAACCCUGGACAGGCGGUGGAAACUACCAAGCUGGAGUACGGUAGGGGCAGAGGGAAUUUCCGGUGGAGCGGUGAAAUGCGUAGAUAUCGUCUGGAACGCCAAAGGUGAAAACAGACUGCUGGGAGUGUGCUGACGCUGAGACACGAAAGCCAGGGGAGCAAACGGG
rnacentral:rRNA from 1 species